UCGCUGAACUGAGUUUGAAUAGCCUCCA
rnacentral:sRNA from 1 species